GUAUUGAGCUACAUUGUCACUGUUCACUUUGUCAGUAUGUUUUAUGUAGCUGAGGCAAUGUAGCAUUAGAAGUCAGAAAUAGCUUGGUGUAUAAUUAUUGACAGCCUUGUGCGUUACUAUUAAUGCAAUAGAACAAAAGAGCUGUAGCUUGGCUUGUAGUUGUUGAGAAUGACUGUAGAGUGUGGGUAUGAAAUACUGUGUGGUGCAUGCUUUGGGAGCUUGGGUGUGAGUAGUUUUGGUGAAUAAAAGCAGUGUGGUGUAGUGUACUGGUCACUGGUAACACAUUCUUUGGUAGAGACGUUUGGAAAAAUAUAUUGGAACGAGAUAUGUGGGUGUACAUUAAAAGCUGGUAUAAGAGCUUUUUAUGCUACGUGAGAUGUGCCCCAGGUGCGGUGGAAGUUAUAACAAGAGGUGCGUCACGGGGUCAGGGCUGUCUUUCGUGAUGUUGAGGGGUCUCUUAGUUCGUAAGAGAUGAUGCAAUGGAAAACUGGAUGGAGAGCUGAGAGAGGUGGUGAAUUCAGUGUUUGGUGUAUCUAAGUAGAUACUAGGUGCUCCGUGGACUGAGAACUGGUUACUUGUGUAAUAACAUGACUUUGCAACUUGUGUGAUUCAUUGAUAGUUUGUUGGUGGACUAUUAUGCAAUAUUAUGUGACGACAUAAUAUUGUAAACUAUUGUUGUGAAUGGUAUGCGGGAAUGAAUGAUUGUGUUAAAUAUGAAAUCGAUGGGUGGUAUGAAAGGGUAUGGUGUGUUAUAUUUGUGAAUAUUUAUGAGAUUAUUGUAAAUUAAAAUUAUUGUUUAUA
rnacentral:lncRNA from 1 species